rnacentral:rRNA from 1 species
AUUGAACGCUGGCGGCAGGCUUAACACAUGCAAGUCGAGCGGGGUGAUGGUGCUUGCACUAUCACUUAGCGGCGGACGGGUGAGUAAUGCUUAGGAAUCUGCCUAUUAGUGGGGGACAACAUCUCGAAAGGGAUGCUAAUACCGCAUACGUCCUACGGGAGAAAGCAGGGGAUCACUUGUGACCUUGCGCUAAUAGAUGAGCCUAAGUCGGAUUAGCUGGUUGGUGGUGUAAAGGCCUACCAAGGCGACGAUCUGUAGCGGGUCUGAGAGGAUGAUACGCCACACUGGGACUGAGACACGGCCCAGACUACUACGGGAGGCAGCAGUGGGGAAUAUUGGACAAUGGGGGGAACCCUGAUCCAGCCCUGCCGCGUGUGUGAAGAAGGCCUUAUGGUUGUAAAGCACUUUAAGCGAGGAGGAGGCUCUUUUGGUUAAUACCCAAGAUGAGUGGACGUUACUCGCAGAAUAAGCACCGGCUAACUCUGUGCCAGCAGCCGCCGCGG